rnacentral:lncRNA from 1 species
GCUGGAACGGAAUGUUUCGUUGCGAGGAUGUCACACAAUUCUUUCAUAGAUGAUGAGAUUGGUUGGCUUGGUGCUUUAGAUUUCGGACCUCAGCUGUCCAGAUUGGUUGCCAAAUGUAGGUUGAGAUCGUGUAAAACAGCUUGUAAAUUUCGGCUAAAUACAUUUUGCAGUGAUCUGGUUGUGCUUGUCUAUAAAUUUCAGCUUUCAUGAUCUUACUAUUGUGGUUUGUGUGGUUGUCUUUAUAUUUGAGCUUCAUGAUUGACAGACGAGAGCUUUUUAAAGCACUUCAGCAAAUUGCUUUUCAUUGAAAUUUACUUCCGUUGUAGGGUUGCAAUGGAGCCAACUCGACAUUUUUCUCUUUGUUAAGAAUAUGAAAUUUAAAAUGGUAGAGCAGCUAUAACUUGAGCAUGGACCUGACACCUUCACACAUAAUGGAUGUAAUCAGAGGUUGUGAUGUUCAUGUGGCCAUAAGUUCUUAUGUCAGUAACAUGUAUUACUCUUUGUCUCUCUCUCUCUGAUCUAUAUUAGGAGCUCUCAAUUCCUUUCCAUUUUAUGUACUUGAGAUAAAGAAGUGUAAGGAGGAGUAAAACAGAGAAAUGUGGGUAUUUGCAUACAUGAACCAAAACAUGUUAAAAGGAAUGUCAGUGCAUCCUAGAGGUGUUCUUCAUGGCUGGUAUGCUGGGAUUGCCAUUGACUCAUACGUUGAUGCUUCUGGUCGUGUAGAACGGUGCAGCAAAUAGCCCUGCACCUUAUGAAGGACAGCUACCUCCUGUGUUUUGCCAGGAAGGCAAUAUCGAACCUCUUGUGUCGCUUAUUUAGUCUGGUGAGCACUAUUCCUUGUGUUUUGUCAUUGUUUUCUUGUACUAGAUAACACUGAGAAAUUCUGUGAUAUGCUUCAUUAUCCUAUAAAUAUCAUACUUAUAAAAGUCAGCAGUCUUCUCUUAUAGAUGGACAGACCCAGUGCAUAGAAGCUCCCACACAAGGUGGGGCUGGGGAGGGAUUAUAGGAACCUAGUCUUACCCCUGCAAAGUGCAAUGCAGAGAGGCUGGUUCGAUGGAUUUCAUAAAAAAAUAGCAAAGAGCAAACAUAGCAUACCUGUUACUGUGCCACCUAUUGUGUUCAGAUGGUUUAUAUUUCGGUUCUUGCUUUCACCAGAGUAUCUAUUUAGCAUCCUGUCAUACUGAUCUUCCCUUAUGCAGCUUUAAAUUAACAGACCUGUUUUGACAUUGAAAUUGUUGUUGACUACAUAAAUUUUACCUGAAAGGCUGAAAUGCAAUUUAUGGUGCAGGCAAGAAUUGCUUAUUCACACUCGACUACAUAUUUACAUUGUGUCCCAACUUCUAGAAACAGUCCUGUCUCUUCCUAUGAUUUUAGAGAUCUAUGUAGUCCAAGUACAACUAGAGUAAAUCAAAUGUAGUUUGUUGUUAAAUCGAAUGUAUCUUGCAGCUAAGUCAAAUGCUAAGUUUGAAUAGCAGAGAUGGUUUCUGCUCCCAAGAAAACAGUAUGUUUUUCUCUAUCGAUUCGUUGCAGGUCUGGCUUCCUUUAUCCAAGCUGUUGCGGAGUUGAUGAAGUCAAUCAAUGGAAAUUUGUGUUGCUCUCAGGAGUCCACACUUUUCUGAUUAGCUGAUUCCGUGCAAGCAAGGUUGCCCGUUAGUCAAACCUAAUUUCUAUGUCUGCUAAAUAUCAAAAUUUCUGUGUCACUUAUUUUGUAGUGUGUGUGCAAUUUGGAACUUAUGUAUCUGGUUGGUUUGGUCAUUGAUCUUAUUUAGUUUUAUUCAUGUUGCUUGGAGUAAUAUUUUGGCACAAAAACCUGUCCAUUUCAAUCAUUCUCUUGUUUAUAUUGUUCAUGUAGAAGGAAUUAUUUUCUUACUUUAUUUGUACUACAUUCAUUCUGAUUUUCUAACAGGACUAGACCUUUUUUCCAAAGUAGCUGUUCUUCCAUUCAGAUCCAUAAUAAGAUUCUGAAAAGCUAGUUUCUGUCGUAACAGACUUAGGUUUUUCAUUUGAUGAAAUCAAAAAUCUUUACCUAUAAUAAUAAAGCAAAUUGGGUUUCUUUCGUCCGUCAUGGCAUUUUUCAGAAAAGUCCCUCUAUUUCAUAGAAUUCAACCCGCAGUUCUGUUUUAAGUUAAAACGCACAAAAGUCCCUGUCUAUUCUUGAAAUCAACCCGCCGUCCGGAUUUAAGUCACACCUGAACCGUUAUUUUACAUUUUCAAAAAAAAAA